AUUGAACGCUGGCGGCAGGCCUAACACAUGCAAGUCGAACGAGUGGCGGACGGGUGAGUAAUGUCUGGGGAACUGCCUGAUGGAGGGGGAUAACUACUGGAAACGGUAGCUAAUACCGCAUACCAUCAGAUGAACCCAUAUGGGAUUAGCUAGUAGGUAGGGUAAAGGCUUACCUAGGCGACGAUCCCUAGCUGGUCUGAGAGGAUGAUCAGCCACCCUGGUACUGAGACACGGCCCAGACUCCUACGGGAGGCAGCAGUGGGGAAUAUUGCACAAUGGGCUCAAGCCUGAUGCAGCCAUGCCGCGUGUAUGAAGAAGGCCUUCGGUUUGUAAAGUACUUUCAGGUGGUAGGCGUUACCCACAGAAGAAGCACCGGCUAACUCCGUGCCAGCAGCCGCGGUAAUAG
rnacentral:rRNA from 1 species